rnacentral:rRNA from 1 species
AACGAACGCUGGCGGCAGGCUUAACACAUGCAAGUCGAGCGCCCCGCAAGGGGAGCGGCAGACGGGUGAGUAACGCGUGGGGACGUACCUUUUGGUUCGGAACAACUCCGGGAAACUGGAGCUAAUACCGGAUAAGCCCUAACGGGGAAAGAUUUAUCGCCGAAAGAUCGGCCCGCGUCUGAUUAGCUAGUUGGUGAGGUAACGGCUCACCAAGGCGACGAUCAGUAGCUGGUCUGAGAGGAUGAUCAGCCACACUGGGACUGAGACACGGCCCAGACUCCUACGGGAGGCAGCAGUGGGGAAUAUUGGACAAUGGGCGCAAGCCUGAUCCAGCCAUGCCGCGUGAGUGAUGAAGGCCUUAGGGUUGUAAAGCUCUUUUGUCCGGGAAGAUAAUGACUGUACCGGAAGAAUAAGCCCCGGCUAACUUCG